UGCCCUAGUAACGGCGAGUGAAGCGGCAACAGCUCAAAUUUGAAAGCUAGCCUUCGGGUUCGCAUUGUAAUUUGUAGAGGAUGCUUUGGGUAAAACGCCAGUCUAAGUUCCUUGGAACAGGACGUCAUAGAGGGUGAGAAUCCCGUAUGUGACUGGAAAUGUUAACCUAUGUAAAGCUCCUUCGACGAGUCGAGUUGUUUGGGAAUGCAGCUCUAAAUGGGAGGUAAAUUUCUUCUAAAGCUAAAUAUUGGCGAGAGACCGAUAGCGCACAAGUAGAGUGAUCGAAAGAUGAAAAGCACUUUGGAAAGAGAGUUAAAAAGCACGUGAAAUUGUUGAAAGGGAAGCGCUUGCAAUCAGACUUGUUUAAACUGUUCGGCCGGUCUUCUGACCGGUUUACUCAGUUUGGACAGGCCAGCAUCAGUUUCGGCGGCCGGAUAAAGGCUCUGGGAAUGUGGCCUCCACUUCGGUGGAGGUGUUAUAGCCCAGUGUGUAAUACGGCCAGCCGGGACUGAGGUCCGCGCUUCGGCUAGGAUGCUGGCGUAAUGGUUGUAAGCGACCCGUCUUGAAACACGGACCAAGGAGUCUAACAUCUAUGCGAGUGUUCGGGUGUCAAACCCCUGCGCGUAAUGAAAGUGAACGGAGGUGGGAACCGCAAGGUGCACCAUCGACCGAUCCUGAUGUCUUCGGAUGGAU
rnacentral:rRNA from 1 species